rnacentral:rRNA from 1 species
ACGUAGGGGACAAGCGUUAUCCGGAUUUACUGGGCGUGAAGCGCACGUAGGCGGACGGGUAAGUUGGCCGUGAAAGCUCCUGGCUUAACUGGGAGAGGUCGGACAAAACUGCCAGACUUGAGGCUGAGAGAGGAGAGCGGAAUUCCCGGUGUAGUGGUGGAAUGCGUAGAUAUCGGGAGGAACACCAGUGGCGAAGGCGACUCUCUGGGCCGAAACUGACGCUGAGUGUGCGAAAGCUAGGGGAGCAAACGG